GGGACUCCCCCUGCUAGACUUUGAUUGCGAAGUUCCGAGGAGAAGAUUUCAAUGAGCCCCCUGCACAGAACACUCUAAAGGGAGAAUGACAAAGGGGGUGACUUCUUUGCAUUUCGCGUCUCUUUGAUUAGAAAGAUGGUGACAAGUAUGCCGGUGCCGACAUGACAUGCCACACACUUUGGCGCCCAUCUUGAAUCUCCUGUACAAGAAAGGAAAGGGCUGUGGAACACGAGGGCAAUUGUCCACUAACUAAACCAUGGAUUUGUGGGCAAUCCGGCCUAACCGCUAGAAUUACAGAAGCAGAAGGCAGUUUCCAGAGAUAAUGGCGGAUCCCCUUAUGUGUUUUACGUACAGAAUUUUACAGGAGUGUUUGUGCGGGAGGUGUUCAGCAAGGGAAAGAUUGAAGAUUCCAUUUGAACAUUUUUUCAACUCCGUGGCUGUGGAUAAAAUCUCAGCUGGACUGAGGCUCUUCAAACCCUAGAUGUCUUCUGAAAGAGUGUACAUUCUGAUGGACAACUGCUGGUAAGAGGUACGAGGGAUUAGGUUUUUAGGUGUUUUGUAAGACAAGAUAAGGUGCCCGGGAUUGUUGCUGUAACUGUGGGAUAGUGUUUAGUAAGGCAAGGUGGUCUCCAUGAUUGUUGCUGUAACUGCAUAGUAUUUAGUAAGGCAAGAUGGUCUUUGGGAUUGUUGCUGUAACUGUGGUAUGGUGUUUAGUAAACCAAUAUGGUCUCUGGCACUGUUGCUGUAACUGGAUAGUGUUUAGAAAGUCAAGAUGGUCUCCAGGAUAGUUUUCUUCUUUUUCUUACUCUUUCUAGCUUUUAA